CUUGUCUCAAAGAUUAAGCCAUGCAUGUGUAAGCACACACUGUUUUAAAAGUGAAGCCGCGAAUGGCUCAUUACAACAGCCACAGUUUAUUAGAACUUACAUACAUGGAUAACUGUGGUAAUUCUAGAGCUAAUACACGCACAAAAACUUCAACUAUACAAUGGUUGAAGUGCUUUUAUUAGAACAAAAACCGAACGGCGUUCGACUUGUGUUGAACGUCGAAACUCUUUGGUGAAUCUGAAUAACUAUUUCUGAUCGCAUGGUCUAGCACCGGCGACAUCACUUUCAAGUGUCUGCCUUAUCAACCUUCGAUGGUAGUCUAUGCGACUACCAUGGUGAUAACGGGUAACGGAGAAUCAGGGUUCGACUCCGGAGAGGGAGCCUGAGAAACGGCUACCACAUCCAAGGAAGGCAGCAGGCGCGCAAAUUACCCACUCCCAGCUUGGGGAGGUAGUGACGAAAAAUAACGAGACGAUUCUCGUUUGAGAAACGUUAUCGAAAUGAGUACGCUUUACACACGCUAACGAGUAGCAAUUGGAGGGCAAGUCUGGUGCCAGCAGCCGCGGUAAUUCCAGCUCCAAUAGCGUAUAUUAAAGUUGCUGCGGUUAAAACGCUCGUAGUUGAAUUGUGGUCUUAGACAACAGUCCCCCUAUAUAGGUGUGGCACGGUUGCUCGAGAUCUUCAUUCGUGGUUGCUGUUGUUGCUCUUCAUUGAGUGUCAAUGGUGCCUCGAGAUUUUACUUUGAAAAAAUUAGAGUGCUCAAAGCAGGUUGUGAUGCCUGAAUAAUGGUGCAUGGAAUAAUAGAAUACGAUCUCGGUUCUAUUUUGUUGGUUUUCGAACCGGAGAUAAUGAUUGAAAGGAACAGACGGGGGCAUUCGUAUUGCUGCGUUAGAGGUGAAAUUCUUGGAUCGCAGCAAGAUGAACAAUUGCGAAAGCAUUUGCCAAGAAUGUUUUCAUUAAUCAAGAACGAAAGUUAGAGGUUCGAAGGCGAUCAGAUACCGCCCUAGUUCUAACGGUAAACUAUGCCAACCAGCGAUUCGCCGAAGUUCAUUUAAGACUCGGCGAGCAGCUUCCGGGAAACCAAAGUGUUUCGGUUCCGGGGGAAGUAUGGUUGCAAAGCUGAAACUUAAAGGAAUUGACGGAAGGGCACCACCAGGAGUGGAGCCUGCGGCUUAAUUUGACUCAACACGGGAAAACUCACCCGGCCCGGACACUGAAAGGAUUGACAGAUUGACAGCUCUUUCUUGAUUCAGUGGGUAGUGGUGCAUGGCCGUUCUUAGUUGGUGGAGCGAUUUGUCUGGUUAAUUCCGAUAACGAACGAGACUCUACCCUAUUAAAUAGUGACAGUAUUGCAUAUUCUGUGCUGAUCAUAACAGGUCUGUGAUGCCCUUCGAUGUCCGGGGCUGCACGCGCGCUACAAUGAAAGCGUCAACGUGAGUUACGUCCUUACCUGAAAAGGUUUGGCAAUCGAUUGAAACGUUUUCUUGAAUGGAAUAGGGAAUUGCAAUUGUUUCCCUUGAACGAGGAAUUCCCAGUAAGCGUGAGUCAUUAGCUCGCGUUGAUUACGUCCCUGCCCUUUGUACACACCGCCCGUCGCUACUACCGAUUGGAUGAUUUAGUGAGGUGUUUUGACUAGCGCCUGUAGUCGGAUGUAUAUUCGGCUUCGCGCCGGGAAAUUUCCCAAACCAAAUCAUCUAGAGGAAGUAAAAGUCGUAACAAGGUUUCCGUAGGUGAACCUGCGGAAG
rnacentral:rRNA from 1 species